rnacentral:rRNA from 1 species
UACGGAGGGUGCAAGCGUUAUCCGGAUUCACUGGGUUUAAAGGGCGCGUAGGUGGGUUGGUAAGUCAGUGGUGAAAUCUCCGAGCUUAACUUGGAAACUGCCAUUGAUACUAUCAGUCUUGAAUAUUGUGGAGGUCAGCGGAAUAUGUCAUGUAGCGGUGAAAUGCUUAGAUAUGACAUAGAACACCAAUUGCGAAGGCAGCUGGCUACACGAAUAUUGACACUGAUGCACGAAAGCGUGGGGAUCAAACAGG